UACGAAGGGGGCUAGCGUUGUUCGGAUUUACUGGGCGUAAAGCGCGUGUAGGCGGACUUGUAAGUUGGGGGUGAAAUCCCGAGGCUCAACCUCGGAACGUGCCUCCAAAACUACAAGUCUGGAGCAAGAUAGAGGCAAGUGGAAUUGCGAGUGUAGAGGUGAAAUUCGUAGAUAUUCGCAGGAACACCAGUGGCGAAGGCGACUUGCUGGAUCUUUGCUGACGCUGAGACGCGCAAAGCGUGG
rnacentral:rRNA from 1 species